UGCAAAGCAACUCCUAUCCCUAUCCUAUCCUCCUCGUGGUACUGGCCGGGGUACGAUCAACCUCAGGGAAGAUUGGGUAAUCAAUCCCGGUGGGAACUUUGGUCGUAUGCUGACAGGGAAGG
rnacentral:ribozyme from 1 species